GUAGGGAAUCUUGCGCAAUGGGCGAAAGCCUGACGCAGCCAUGCCGCGUGAAUGAUGAAGGUCUUAGGAUUGUAAAAUUCUUUCACCGGGGACGAUAAUGACGGUACCCGGAGAAGAAGCCCCGGCUAACUUCGUGCCAGCAGCCGCGGUAAUACGAAGGGGGCUAGCGUUGCUCGGAAUUACUGGGCGUAAAGGGAGCGUAGGCGGAUAGUUUAGUCAGAGGUGAAAGCCCAGGGCUCAACCUUGGAAUUGCCUUUGAUACUGGCUAUCUUGAGUAUGGAAGAGGUAUGUGGAACUCCGAGUGUAGAGGUGAAAUUCGUAGAUAUUCGGAAGAACACCAGUGGCGAAGGCGACUCACUGGCCCAAUACUGACGCUGAGGCGCGAAAGCGUGGGGAGCAAACAGGAUUAGAUACCCUUGUAGUCC
rnacentral:rRNA from 1 species